UGCUGGGGCUGCAGGUGCCUCUCCCCACCUCUCCCCUGCCAGGCUGCCUUUGAUCUCCAGCCUGUUUUGGCUCCACUGUCAACAGAGAGACCUGCUGGCAUGUUCUUUCCCUUCACCUUCAGGCCUCGAGCCUGGUUGGUCGAAAGACAUGGAAUUUCCACACCCUCACAGGUUGUGCAACUACCCUGCAGACACAUUUUACAUUUAAUUAUUGUUAUCAUUACUUUCAGCAGAGUGAACACUUGUAGAUUUAUUAGGUUUUUCGAUGGCCCACCCAUCUGAGUCAGUGACCUUUAGCAAUUGUGAUGGGAGAGAAAGGGAUGAGCUACAGAGUGGCUGGAUGACCAGGCUGAAAGCCGUCAUUCCUGGGCCUCUGUUUGGAGAAGCCUUCUUUGGAAGAAGCUGGGAGCCUGCUGGAAUUUGAACCCACAUCUAAGAGAUCUCAGUUCCCGGAUGGAUUUGUUCCAACCUGGUCUGCCCGCCUCUCUGUGGAAUAUCUCUCUGCUCUCUCUGCCUUUUGAAAUUAUUUCUCCAGGCUGGAUUUGGCUGCCUCUGCCACCAGUGAAUGGCGCACUGACCGCGCGGGUGAGCAUGGUGCCCCCUCCACCCCUCCUCCCAGGGCCCAGCUUUUCUGAAUUGCUGGCCAGUGUGGAGACCACCUGUUCAGCUGAUCCCCACUGCAGGCCCAAAGCACAGAGGAGACUGAGGCUCAGAGAGGUGAGGUGACCCACCUGCUGCCCUUAACAUACUAACAUUGGCCCUGGGGUCUGGCUUUGUACCCGACAUACCCCAAAUCCCUUCUUUCUGGGCCACCUGUUCUUGGUCUGUGUUAAAGGCACCUUUGCCAACCUGGUGAAAGCCAUAGGACCCUUCCUUGGAAAAAAAAUUGAAAAGAAUUUCAUGGGCUUCCAGAACAGGGCCAGGCAUAGAUUAAGAACUCUUUUCCUGCAUGUUUGCAGUAUAUGCAUGCGAUGUGGGAUUUAUAGUUAUACACUUUGUUUCAGAUAGCAUCUAACCAUGUAAUCCAUCCAUUGCUUCGAGAAAUAUUCAUUAAGCACCUACUACGUGAAAACCACUGUUCCAGGUGCUAGAGAUACUUUGUGAAGCUGACGUCCUGGGGUGGGAGGCGGGGUGGUGUGGAACAAAUGAUAAAAAGAGGCAAAGUCGUAGUGGUUAUUAGUGCUGUAAAUAAAUCACCCCAACCUUUUUGGCACCAGGGACCGGUUUUGUGGAAGGCAAUUUUUCCACGGACAGAGGGGGAGGUUUGGGGAUGAUUCAAGGGCCUUAUACUUACUGUGCACUUUAUUUCUGUUACUGUUACAUCAACUCCAUCUCAGCUCAUCAGGCGUUAGGUCCUGGAGGCCGGGGAGCCCUGCUCUAAAUGGUCCUAGUUCUCUGUCUUCUGGGCACACGGUAAGAUUCUGCUCCCUGGUCUUGUGGUUGGGUGAGACCACGCGGCUGGUUUGCCAGUGAAUUGCGAGACGUGAUGUUACUUCCGGGCCAGAGCAUUUAGUUGUUGAUGUGAGACCCCUCUCCCUAACCCGCCCCCAGAGCUUUCCCUCCCCUCUGAUGUGGAAACUGGACACAUUGCAGAUGGAGGUUGUGUAGUCAGCCUAGGUCCCUGAGACUCUAGAGCAGGACAGACAAGAUUUGUUUCUUUAAGUCACUGAAAUUUUGAGGGUCUUUGUUACUGUAACAUAACCCAGUCUAUUUUGAUUGAUACAAUAAUAAGUAUGUAAAUUACAUGAUGAAAUUAUAAAGAUUGCCAGGAGAUUAGAACCACAGGGAAAAGAAACUGCUGAGCAUGAUAAGUUGUAUUGCAAGGGGAAGGCAAGUGAACUUUAUUUUUUAAAUCAAUUAAUUGAGGGGGGGCCUGUGCUGCACAGCAUGUGCGAUCUUAGUUCCAUAACAAGUGAUUAAACCUGAACCCUUAAAAAAAAACCCUGAACCCCUGACGUAGAAACGCGGAUUCUUAACCACUAGGCUACCAGGGAAGUCCCCUGCGCCCCCCUUUUAAGCGGAACUUAAAAUAGGGCAAUCAAGUUAGGAGGCUUCAUUGAGAAAGAGAUCUUUGAAAAGGAAGUGAACCUUGCAGGUGUCUGGGAAGAAAAAAUGUGUCCCAGGCUGUUCCUGGGACAGCCAGGGGGAACAGCCAGGGUAAAGGCUGGAGCUGUUUGGUGGUUUGAGAAACAGCAAAGGAUCAUAUGAUUGGAGAAAAGUGUGGGGUGGGGUCCGAGAAGUACCAGGGCCUUCUUAGGGGGAGCCUUAUGGCCAUGAAGGACUUUGCCAUGUUCUUUGAGUGAAAGAGGGAGCCAUCACAGGGGCUUGAGCCCACAACCAUCAUGAUAGAAUGGACGAUUUCAAGGGGUCCAGCCUGGCAUCUGUGCCGAGACUGAAUGGGGAGGAGUCCUGCGGGGCAGGAUGGAGGGUGCCUAUGAAGGGGCUAUGCAUUUUUCAGGUGACAUCUGUUGGUGGCUCACGUGGGGUGGCGAGAGCAGAGGUGGCGAGAAGUGGUCAGAUGGUCAGAUCCUGGAUAUGUUUUGAAGACGGAACUCGUGCUAAGUCGCUUCAGUCGUGUCUGACUCUUUGCAACCCUAUGGACUAUAGCCCGCCAGGCUCCUCUGUCCGUGGGAUUCUCCGGGCAAGAAUGCUGGAGUGGGUUGCUGCGCCCUCCUCCAGGGGAUCUUCCUGACCCAGGGAUCAAACCCGCAUCUCAUGUCUCUUGCAUUGACAGGCAGGUUCUUUACCACUAGCACCAUCUUAGGCUGGUUAUAAAGAGAAACUCUGACGUGAAGCUUUAUAGCCAGGGCCAAUUCUAAGGGCUUUAGAUGAGAAUUAGGGAAAACCACAUGAUGAGUUUACUGUUACCUUUGAUGGUGUCUGGCUUCCCAGGUGGCUCAGACAGUAAAGAAUCUCCCUGCAAUGUGGGAGACCCAGGUUUGAUCCCUGGGUCGGGAAGAUCCCGUGGAGAAGGGAAUGGCAACCCACUCCAGUAUUCUUGCCUGGAGAAUCCCAAGGACAGAGGAGCCUGGUGGGCUACAGUCCCUAGGGUUGCACAGAGUCAGACACGACUGAGUGACUAAAACUUUCACUCUGACGGUGUCAGGGAGGUUAUUCUGUUCUGUUUUAGGAAUGCCAAGGACAUGAUCCAUUAUGUUAUGCAAUGCUCCUGCAUUCUGAUAAAUUUCAUCUUUUGCUAAGUCCUGGGAGAAGCUCUGCUUUCCUUGAGGAACUGAUGUACAUCUUCUCUCUCCAAAACAAAAAUCAUGAAAAGAUUGUCUCUUUUCUCUCCAGCUGCCAGGGAUCUCAAAGCCAAAUGUGAAACUCGACUUUAUUACCCACUUGGGCCUGUGAAGUUUGCAUAUUUGUUUUUUACUUUCCCUCCCCUUGGCUUCUUUCUUUUAAUUCCCAGGGUUAGUUUUUUAAAUUUUAACUUUAUCACGUGUUCUUGCUAGAGUUGCCUCUAAUCUAUAUGGAAUGAGGUGGAGUGUAAAAUAAAGAAAGGAAUGCAAUUGAAUAGCGUUGCUUUUUAAUAACAAUGCAACUCAUUUAUAAAUGAAAAAGAUAUUGAAAAUUUGUCUCUAAUUUCCUAUAUGCAGUCUUGAAUUCCAGCCGACUUUCACUAUAAAAUUGAAACUGUGUUCCUCAAGGAAAAAGAAUCCUAGUCCUGAAAUGUUAUAAAAAUCGCACGUUCAAUUGCAGAAAAUAUGUAAAGUCACAUAUCUUAAAGAAAGCAAGCUAUUGUAAGAUGCUGAGAACAGUAUUUGAAAUAAAUCACAGAAUACAAAUACAAAAUAACUGGAGUUGCUCUAAUGUUUUGUAUGUGGUCAGCCUCAUCCAACUCUUUUGCAAGCCCAAGGACUGUAACCUGCCAGGCUCCUCUGUCCAUGGAAUUUCCCAGGCUAGAAUACUGGAGAGGGUUGCCAUUUCCUUCUCCAGGGGAACCUCCUGACCCAGGGAUCAGAAUCUGCGUCUCUUUUAUUGGCUGGUGGAUUCUUUACCACUGAACCACCUGCGAGCCCUUUUAGGAUGAGGAUUUAAAGACUGCAGGAAAAAGAAUGGGUCUUCCAAAGAGGACAUGCUGUUUCGUGAGACUUUGCAGCUUACACUUUCUCUGGAAUUACUGAAGCAGGUUUCACAGAGCUCAGUUAGCCUUCACUUUGCCACAUACCUAUAACACCUGUCUUCUUAGCCUAUCAAUAUUGGUUCUUCAAAUCAAUCCCUUUAAUAAACUUAUUUAGAGAGGAAAUGAUCUAAGUAAUAUGUAGUGGGUAUGAAUUCAUGGGUUUGCUGUUUUCUUAA
ensembl:lncRNA